rnacentral:rRNA from 1 species
GACGAACGCUGGCGGCGUGCCUAAUACAUGCAAGUCGAGCGGAUCGAUGGGAGCUUGCUCCCUGAGAUCAGCGGCGGACGGGUGAGUAACACGUGGGUAACCUGCCUGUAAGACUGGGAUAACUCCGGGAAACCGGGGCUAAUACCGGAUAACACCUACCCCCACAUGGGGGAAGGUUGAAAGGUGGCUUCGGCUACCACUUACAGAUGGACCCGCGGCGCAUUAGCUAGUUGGUGAGGUAACGGCUCACCAAGGCGACGAUGCGUAGCCGACCUGAGAGGGUGAUCGGCCACACUGGGACUGAGACACGGCCCAGACUCCUACGGGAGGCAGCAGUAGGGAAUCUUCCGCAAUGGACGAAAGUCUGACGGAGCAACGCCGCGUGAGUGAAGAAGGUUUUCGGAUCGUAAAACUCUGUUGUUAGGGAAGAACAAGUGCCGUUCGAAUAGGGCGGCACCUUGACGGUACCUAACCAGAAAGCCACGGCUAACUACGUGCCAGCAGCCGCCGUAAGAC